UACGUAGGGGGCAAGCGUUGUCCGGAUUUAUUGGGCGUAAAGAGCGUGUAGGCGGUCAGGUAGGUCCGUUGUGAAAACUCGAGGCUCAACCUCGAGACGCCGAUGGAAACCAUCUGACUAGAGUCCGGAAGAGGAGAGUGGAAUCCUGGUGUAGCGGUGAAAUGCGCAGAUAUCAGGAAGAACACCCGUGGCUAAGGCGGCUCUCUAGUACGGUACUGACGCUGAGACGCGAAAGCCAGGGGAGCGAACGGG
rnacentral:rRNA from 1 species